UUCACUUAAGCAAGUAUUGUUUGUGAAUACGGGCGAAAGUGUUUUUAAUUGGGUGAUUUCAAACAGAUCAAAAUUCACCCAGGUACGCAGGUAAAGCCACGAGCUGACGCUAGUUCAUGUAACAGUGUCAAUGGCCAUCUUGACAUUAAAUGAUUUGCAAAUAAAAUAUUCAGGGUGAACUAGAUGCCUAAUGUAAUUUUAAUAUUCAUUGAUUGAGCGUUAUCUAUGAAGAUGAAACUGGACAUUCUAGUUUGGGCAUCCACCGCGGAGGUUUCGUGUCGUGUAAUAAAAAAAAGUAUUUAAAAAUGAAGUUACACAUUUUGGUAUUUGCUCUAGCAGUUCUUGUGUCAUGUGUGACUUGCUGGAAGGUGUUUCCACUGCCGAAUCAGCCAGUAUAUAAUACCCCUAGCCUCCCUGAUAUAACACCUACACGAACGAAUUCUGUAUAUGAAACUAGAGUUCCUUCGUUUGGUAUAAAUCCAACGAAAGUCGACAAAACUCCAGCCCUCUCAACCGGUGACGUCAAUGCACCUGCAAGAGAUCUGCUACCUCCUAAGGAAGGCCCAUCGGCAUAAAUACGAGUAAAUAUCUUAUACAUCCCAUGGGAGAGAUCGUCAAAACCAAGCAUACGCAGUUUCAAAGAGAGACCGUCAAGACCGAACUUAUAUUUAUAACUUUAAAAUUCACAUAAAAAAGUUCCCGUAUCAGCAGUCAUAGCAAUUAUAAUCACUUACGUCAUUAUUCCAACUGGAAACAUCGUAUAAUUAAUUCCACAAAUGCAUUACACAACCAGAUAUGCAGAUCAAUGGUUUUAUGGCGGUUAUAAACCGCCAAUCGAGUACAAAACUAUAAAUUAAAUAUAGUACAACUAAAAACUUUAAAA